CCAUGCCGCGUGUCUGAAGAAGGCCUUCGGGUUGUAAAGGACUUUUGUCAGGGAGCAAAACUUACUGGUUAAUACCUGGUGAGGUUGAGAGUACCUGAAGAAUAAGCACCGGCUAACUACGUGCCAGCAGCCGCGGUAAUACGUAGGGUGCAAGCGUUAAUCGGAAUUACUGGGCGUAAAGCGUGCGCAGGCGGACUUUUAAGCCAGAUGUGAAAGCCCCGAGCUUAACUUGGGAAUUGCGUUUGGAACUGGGAGUCUAGAGUCUGUCAGAGGGGGAUGGAAUUCCACGUGUAGCAGUGAAAUGCGUAGAGAUGUGGAGGAACACCGAUGGCGAAGGCAGUCCCCUGGGAUAAGACUGACGCUCAUGCACGAAAGCGUGGGGAGCAAACAGGAUUAGAUACCCUGGUAGUCCACGCCCUAAACGAUGUCUACUAGUUGUUGGGGUAGCAAUACCUCAGUGACGCAGCUAACGCGUGAAGUAGACCGCCUGGGGAGUACGGUCGCAAGAUUAAAACUCAAAGGAAUUGACGGGGGC
rnacentral:rRNA from 1 species